rnacentral:rRNA from 1 species
AUUGAACGCUGGCGGCAUGCCUAACACAUGCAAGUCGAACGAGUGGCGGACGGGUGAGUAAUGUCUGGGCAACUGCCUGAUGGAGGGGGAUAACUACUGGAAACGGUAGCUAAUACCGCAUACCAUCGGCUUUGCCCAGAUGGGAUUAGCUAGUAGGUGGGGUAAAGGCUCACCUAGGCGACGCUCCCUAGCUGGUCUGAGAGGAUGACCGGCCACACUGGAACUGAGACACGGUCCAGACUCCUACGGGAGGCAGCAGUGGGGAAUAUUGCACAAUGGGCGCAAGUCUGAUGCAGCCAUGCCGCGUGGAUGAAGAAGGCCUUCGGGUUGUAAAGUACUUGCAGCGGGGAGGCGGUACCCGCAGAAGAAGCACCGGCUAACUCCGUGCCAGCAGCCGCGGUAAUAC